rnacentral:rRNA from 1 species
GACGAACGCUGGCGGCGUGCCUAAUACAUGCAAGUAGGACGCAGUUGCGAAUGGGUGAGUAACGCGUAGGUAACUACCUAUUAGAGGGGGCUAACUAUUGGAAACGAUAGCUAAUACCGCAUACUAGUAGAUGGAUCUGCGUUGUAUUAGCUAGUAGGUAGGGUAAUGGGCUACCUAGGCAACGAUGCAUAACCGACCUUAGGGGGUGAUAGACCACAAUGGGACUGAAGAACCGCCCCAGCCCCGACGGGAGGCAACAGUAGGGAAUCUUCGGCAAAGGGGGGAACGCUGGCCGAACAACGGCGCGUUAGUGGAGGAGGUUUUCGGGUCUGAAAACUAUGUUUUUAAGGAAGCGGUACUUAACCAGAAAGGAACGGCUAACUACGUGCCAGCCGCCGCGGUAAUUC